rnacentral:rRNA from 1 species
AACGAACGCUGGCGGCAUGCCUAACACAUGCAAGUCGAACGAAACCUUCGGGUCUAGUGGCGCACGGGUGCGUAACGCGUGGGAACCUGCCCUUAGGUUCGGAAUAACUCCCCGAAAGGGGUGCUAAUACCGGAUAAUGUCUUCGGACCAAAGAUUUAUCGCCUUUGGAUGGGCCCUCGUUGGAUUAGCUUGUUGGUAGGGUAAAAGCCUACCAAGGCGACGAUCCAUAGAUGGUUUGAGAGGAUGAUCAGCCACACUGGGACUGAGACACGGCCCAGACUCCUACGGGAGGCAGCAGUGGGGAAUAUUGGACAAUGGGCGAAAGCCUGAUCCAGCAAUGCCGCGUGAGUGAUGAAGGCAUUAGGGUUGUAAAGCUCUUUUACCCGGGAUGAUAAUGACAGUACCGGGAGAAUAAGCCCCGGCUAACUCCGUG